GAUGUCGGCUCAUCGCAUCCUGGGGCUGUAGUCGGUCCCAAGGGUUGGGCUGUUCGCCCAUUAAAGCGGUACGCGAGCUGGGUUCAGAACGUCGUGAGACAGUUCGGUCCCUAUCCGUCGUGGGCGCAGGAAAUUUGAGAGGAGCUGUCCUUAGUACGAGAGGACCGGGAUGGACGCACCGCUGGUGUACCAGUUGUCUUGCCAAAGGCAUCGCUGGGUAGCUAUGUGCGGAAGGGAUAAGUGCUGAAAGCAUCUAAGCAUGAAGCCCCCCUCGAGAUGAGAUUUCCCAUCACGUAUGUGAGUAAGAUCCCUAGAAGAUGACUAGGUAGAUAGGUCAGAGAUGGAAGCAUGGCGACAUGUGGAGUUGACUGAUACUAAUCGAUCGAGGACUUAACCACAA
rnacentral:rRNA from 1 species